AAACGACAAUACUAAACCACUCGCAAGGGUGGGGCGGAAAGCCUACAGGGUCUCAUCGAGACAGCCGGGUUGCCGAA
rnacentral:ncRNA from 1 species